rnacentral:rRNA from 1 species
UACGUAGGAUGCAAGCGUUGUCCGGAAUUAUUGGGCGUAAAGAGCGCGCAGGCGGUAUGACAAGUCAGAUGUGAAAGAGGCCGGCUUAACCGGCAAGGGUCAUUUGAAACUGUCAGACUAGAGUGCAGCAGAGGAUAGUCGGAAUUCCCGGUGUAGUGGUGAAAUGCGUAGAUAGUCGGGAGGAACACCAGUGGCGAAGGCGACUAUCUGGGCUGCAACUGACGCUGAGGCGCGAAGGCUAGGGUAGCAAACAGG